AGAGACAACAUGCUGAGAGAGCAGAGGAGACCCUCCAGGCAAGGGCAGACUCCUUGCAGGGGCAGGCUGGGGGCCCCCGCUGCCUGCUGGGUCAGGCUGGUGAAUCUGGUCAUGGUUCCGCCCCCCAGAUUCACUCCCUAGGUGUGUUUGUUUACUGGUUCCUCACUGUCUUGCUCAAAUGCUCCAACUCUACAAAUCCCGGGAUCUCGGGGUGCAGAUCACCUCUCCCAGAUUCCUGAGCCUGUGUCUGGCCAUGGGCACCUCCAGCAUCUUCCUCUGCGUGCUGUUCCUCUGUGGGGCACUGGGUCUCACCAUGUCCCCUGCCCGGGGAAGGCUCCGCUGCUACAUCUGUGGCUUCACCAAACCCUGCCACCCUGUUCCCACCGAGUGUCGGGACGAUGAAGCUUGUGGCAUCAGUAUUGGCACUUCAGACCAGAGUGAGAUCACUGAGUGAAAAAGCUGCCUCUCAAGGGCCCAGUGCCCUCUGCCAGGCUAUGCCACCUACUGGCUGCACUCCUACACUCUGUGGCACCACUGCUGCGAGCAGGACCUGUGCAACAUAGCCGCUUCCCCACAGCAGCUCACCAGCCUCCUCGCCUCCCUGCCCCUCUUUGUGGCCAGCUUCGCUGGGAGAGGACACCUCCUCCACUAG